UAAUAUUCAUCGAUAAAGGACAGAUUAUUUCAUCGAUAAAUUAUUUAAAAAAAUAAACUAAAUCAAAUUUAAUAAAAUAAAUAGUUUGGCAACGGAAUUUGCAUUGGAAUCCAUGCGGAUAAAAAUGAAAUCCCCAAAUCGUUUCUCGUUUCUCGUUUCUCCCCUGCGUUGAAAUCCCUAAAACCCCUUAACCCAUUCUCUCCCUGACUGAUCUCUGCCACUCUCCCCUCACCGCCGCGACAUCGAUCGUCCGUCGUCCGUCAUCGGCUGGUGCAGCAGGUAUAGCCCCAAACUGUAGCACAAAAACAACCAGCUAAAAAUGUCAUUGAAGCCCGUGCAGCAGCAUGAGAGGAGGCAGAGAAAGUCGAGUAUAUGGCCAGUGUAAAGUUAUGAGGCAAUUAUCCAAGUUCAAACGUGAAGAAAUGAAAAUUCAAGAAUGGGAGAACCAUCAAAAAGCAAAAACUGAGGCUGAGAUGAGAUGAGAUGGGAUGAAGAAAAUUGAGGAAUUCUUGCCAUCGAUAUCUACUUCCCUCCUACUUCAAUUUAUCAGGAAGCAUUGAAGGCUCACAAUGGUGAGCAUUGGGAGCACAUGUUUUUCAAGGUAUAUGCAGAAGGGCCAGCUCAGCCAAUUGAAGGCGCAACUGCAAUUGCCAUGCUGAUCGGGCCAAAUGCUCCUAUUGCUUUUGAGAGCAGAUUCAGGGAAGUCGUAUGUCACAUGCCUAUGAUUUUUACAAGCCAAAUCUUGCACGUACUGGAAACUAAAGGGUAGGACAUUUUCAAUUUCAGAUGCUUAUGAUUUUGUCGUCAUUCUCCUUAUAGUAAGCUUGUUUAGAAGAGUUUCACUCAGCUUUUCUUCAAUGAUUGUUAUUGAUAUUUUCUCUGGAUCUUGGACUGCAACUUGUUCAGAAGAGUUUGUGUAGCUUUGACACCACUUGUUGAGAGAAGAAAGACUCGAGCAGCACAUACAAACACAUACAAACAAAGUGACUAAUUACAAAAUAUACAACUCACACUCUAAUUUUCACAUACUUGCAUACACAAUAUUUAUUUCCUCAUUUCCUUCUUUAUUCUCGAACUAUCACACUCGCCAAAACAUUUUCUUUGUCAUUCAUGUCACUUGCACCUUACACUCCACACUUUUCACGCAUUAUCUCACGGCACAUUCUUUAACUUGCUACUUACACACACUCACUGGCUACUUCCACACAAACUACACACAACACACUAGCUCCUAUUUAUAGUUCACUAUGUUGGUUUGAUUCACCAACCCUGAAACUUCUAGUGCCUCAUUUUUAGUCUAUUGUACUAAAAUAUCAAGCAUUGCAUAUGUUGGUUUAUAACUGAUUUACAUAUUCUAGAUAGUUGGCUAAAAUAUCAAUAAGUCACUUCAAAAAUCUAGAAAAGUUUAGAAAAAGUAGUUGUUGAUAUUUUAACACUCCCCUUAAAGAUAACUCUUUGUUGAUGCUGGUUUGAUAGUCUUUUCAAAUUGCUUUCUGAAUGUGCAAAAUCUAGCUCCAUUAAAAUCCUUGUGUUUGAUCUUGGGAGCUGAAGUCUUCAUGCAUAUUGCCAAAAACGAGGUGGCACAUUCUUCGCAUGUAACAUGCUUGGGCAUAACUCAUUGUUAAGAAUCCUUUUAAUCGUGUCUUUGUUUUGUUUUGCCUAUCAAAUUUUUGAACACCCUAUCUUCUUGUUUAAACUUUUUUCGAGCAUAAACUGUGCUCGUUUUAUUGGGCAGGCAAAUGGGUAGUCAUGUUCCUACAUGGAAGUAUUUUAACUGCCACAAUUUCCUCUCUCAAACUUCGAGGUGGUCAAUAUCCUUUUAAUUUGUUUAAUUUUGCAGUACUGAUGAAUGUUUCAGAGAGGCUGAGUUUGAGACACGAGGUAUUUCUUCCUUCUUAGUUCCUCUUACUCUGCCAUGUUUACCAACUUCAGCUUGUGCAUGUCUUGUUUUCAAGGUCAAGAAAGUACUUACUAUGAAAUAUGGGAUAAGAUGGUUGAAUAAUUUCCUUCCUCGUGUUACCAUAUGUAAAUUAUUUCAACUCCUUGUUGAAUUUCUGCUUUAUUAAUUUCUUUCUUUUUCUACCAAAAAAUGCAAAUUUAUAAUUUCAGGUGAGCAAUUUCAGCAAGGAAAUUGCAUGCUUUUAAAUGCUUGCAUAAAUUUAUCUUGGGAUAUCAAGUUUAAAAGCCGGAAUAAAGAAUUAAAGCCGAAGGAAUUAAGUAAAUAGUUAAUUAAACUUUGCUUUUGUAUUUAUUUUCUGGGAAGUGAAAAUGGUCAGUUUUCAGAUGUUUCUAAAGCUGAAGUGGUGCAUUGAGUAGAUGUCAUAACUGACUCACGCAUGAUUUUAGCAGUCAGGUGUAAAAAUUAUUCUAAUGAUAGUAUGCUUUUAUCUUUUGACUCUGGAUGUUUCUAUCCUAUUUAUUCUUUGCCCAAACCACCAUGGAGCAAAGGACUUUGUCACGAGCAAGGAAGGUAGCCUCCCCUCGGACUACCUCACUGAAGUUGACUCAAUGUAUCAAAGAAUUUUACACUCGUAAUGGUAAUGCUACUAUUUUAUUGAUUGAUUUAAUUUUGGCUUGCAUGCUAAAAUGCAAAUAGUUGCAUUGAAACGGAUAUAAUGGCUGAAUUGUCUAUUUUACUUUCUUUCGUCUCUCCAAGGACUCUCAUAUGAUGGUGUUUUUCUG